CUAGGUUCAAAUCUUGCCUUCUUCCUGGUGAGGUGGGGGCGAGCCUUGGAAAGCAUUAUUCCCCUGUUGUUUUCAGAUUCAUCAGCGCGAGCCGGAGUGCCAAUGGGAAGUCCCCAGGUGAAGCAACAAGAGGACAGCAAGAUAUAAAGCUUCAUUCGGAGCACCUCGAUUUGCAGCGACAUGAGGAUGAGGGUGUCACUGACCAGGCAACAUUUAUUGUCCGUCCCUAGUUGCCCAGAUGGAAGUUAUAAGCCAACCACAGUGCUGUGGGCCUGGAGUCACAUGUCGGCCAGACCAGAGAAUCUGAGCAGAAUUUGAGGGGGCUCUAGUGAUGACGUGGAAAUAUUCCCUAUCCCCUGAGCCAGGAGGCUCAGCUUCAAGACCCAUCUGCUCCAGAGGAUGUGCCAUAACCUCCCUGAACAUGUUGAAUGGAAAAUAUCAUGAAUCAGAGCAGGAAAGGAUCAUGAAGUGUGCAGCAUUCUUGUGAUUUCAUGAGCAUUAGUGUCUCAAUGUCUUCAUUAAUAAUUGUCCAAUCAGGCUCACUCCUGCUGUUAUGGCGGUUAUAGGUUGUACCUUUUGUGCUAAUAUUGAUACACAUGAAAGUUCAGCUCAUUAGA